AAGACAUACAAGAAGAACCAUGGAUCAGAAACCUUGGGAAAAAUGGAGAUAUUGUUGAGGAGGCUUAGUUGUGGAACGCAAGCAUAUAGAGUGACGGGUAUGCACCAAAAUGGCCAGAAAACAUAAUGUAUGUAGCAAUUGGCCCUCAAAAUUCCCAGGGCUUUGGUUCCAAAUGUCAAUGGACUGUGUUUACAGGAUAAAACUUCAAGGUGUCCAAAAGCCCAUCUUUUAACCUGGCUCAGUACAUCA
rnacentral:misc_RNA from 1 species